UUACUACAUGGAUAACUGUGGUAAUUCUAGAGCUAAUACAUGCUAAAAAUCCCGACUUCGGAAGGGAUGUAUUUAUUAGAUUAAAAGCCAACGCCCUUCGGGGCUUCCUGGUGAUUCAUAAUAACUUUUCGAAUCGCAUGGCCUUGCGCCGGCGAUGGUUCAUUCAAAUUUCUUCCCUAUCAACUUUCGAUGCGAAGGUAUUGUCUUCGCAUGGUUGCAACGGGUAACGGAGGGUUAGGGCUCGACCCCGGAGAAGGAGCCUGAGAAACGGCUACUACAUCCAAGGAAGGCAGCAGGCGCGCAAAUUACCCAAUCCCGACACGGGGAGGUAGUGACAAUAAAUACUGAUACAGGGCUCUUUUGGGUCUUGUAAUCGGAAUGAGUACAAUUUAAAUCCCUUAACGAGGAACAAUUGGAGGGCAAGUCUGGUGCCAGCAG
rnacentral:rRNA from 1 species